rnacentral:rRNA from 1 species
UGGGGAAUUUUGGACAAUGGGGGAAACCCUGAUCCAGCCAUCCCGCGUGUGCGAUGAAGGCCUUCGGGUUGUAAAGCACUUUUGGCAGGAAAGAAACGUCAUGGGUUAAUACCCCGUGAAACUGACGGUACCUGCAGAAUAAGCACCGGCUAACUACGUGCCAGCAGCCGCGGUAAUACGUAGGGUGCAAGCGUUAAUCGGAAUUACUGGGCGUAAAGCGUGCGCAGGCGGUUCGGAAAGAAAGAUGUGAAAUCCCAGAGCUCAACUUUGGAACUGCAUUUUUAACUACCGGGCUAGAGUGUGUCAGAGGGAGGUGGAAUUCCGCGUGUAGCAGUGAAAUGCGUAGAUAUGCGGAGGAACACCGAUGGAGAAGGCAGCCUCCUGGGAUAACACUGACGCUCAUGCACGAAAGCGUGGGGAGCAAACAGG